AACUUUCAGCAACGGAUCUCUUGGCUCUCGCAUCGAUGAAGAACGCAGCGAAAUGCGAUAAGUAAUGUGAAUUGCAGAAUUCAGUGAAUCAUCGAAUCUUUGAACGCACCUUGCGCUCCUUGGUAUUCCGAGGAGCAUGCCUGUUUGAGUGCCAUU
rnacentral:rRNA from 1 species